GCUUCUUAUGACUGAAAUAACAGAUCAGAAAUAAAAGCCUUCAAUAACAUAAAAUUAUAAAUAAAAUAUAUGGCUAAGAAAUUAAAAUCUAACAUGAAUUCAACACCAUUCUCUUCUUUCUUUAUACAUCUAAACAAUUAAUGAUAAUAAUAAUAAUAAUAAAGAAAUGAGAAAGAUGACAAAUCUUAUGUUGUGCUUCCUACCCUCAAUCUCACCAUCCCACAACUUUUUAAAACUUUCUGCACAUUCAAACCUAUUCGAAUCCACCAAACUCAAAAAAAAUAAUCAUGAUUCAAGAGCAUAGAAUCUGAUUAUUUAAAAAAAAAAAA
rnacentral:misc_RNA from 1 species